UACGGAGGGAGCUAGCGUUGUUCGGAAUUACUGGGCGUAAAGCGCACGUAGGCGGCUUUGUAAGUUAGAGGUGAAAGCCCGGGGCUCAACUCCGGAACUGCCUUUAAGACUGCAUCGCUUGAAUCCAGGAGAGGUGAGUGGAAUUCCACGUGUAGCAGUGAAAUGCGUAGAGAUGUGGAGGAACACCGAUGGCGAAGGCAGCCCCCUGGGCUGAGAUUGACGCUCAGGCACGAAAGCGUGGGGAGCAAACAGG
rnacentral:rRNA from 1 species